rnacentral:tRNA from 1 species
GAUAGGGUGACUGAAAUUUAGGUGAUAAAUUGUAAAUUUAUUUAUGGUUAAUUUAACCCUCUAUCA